rnacentral:rRNA from 1 species
GCAGCAGUGGGGAAUUUUGGACAAUGGGGGCAACCCUGAUCCAGCCAUUCCGCGUGAGUGAAGAAGGCCUUCGGGUUGUAAAGCUCUUUCGCAAGAGAAGAAAACUUGCUAUCUAAUAAAUAGUAAGCAUGACGGUAUCUUGACAAGAAGCACCGGCUAACUACGUGCCAGCAGCCGCGGUAAUACGUAGGGUGCAAGCGUUAAUCGGAAUUACUGGGCGUAAAGCGUGCGCAGGCAGUUUUAUAAGUCAGAUGUGAAAUCCCCGAGCUCAACUUGGGAACUGCGUUUGAAACUGUAAGACUAGAGUGUGUCAGAGGGGGGUAGAAUUCCAAGUGUAGCAGUGAAAUGCGUAGAGAUUUGGAGGAAUACCAAUGGCGAAGGCAGCCCCCUGGGAUAACACUGACGCUCAUGCACGAAAGCGUGGGGAGCAAACAGGAUUAGAUACCCUGGUAGUCCACGCCCUAAACGAUGUCUACUAGUUGUUGGUGGAGUAAAAUCCAUGAGUAACGCAGCUAACGCGUGAAGUAGACCGCCUGGGGAGUACGGUCGCAAGAUUAAAACUCAAAUGAAUUGACGGGGGCCCGCACAAGCGGUGGAUUAUGUGGAUUAAUUCGAUGCAACGCGAAAAACCUUACCUGGCCUUGACAUGUACCGAAUUUAGCAGAGAUGCUUUAGUGCUCGAAAGAGAACGGUAACACAGGUGCUGCAUGGCUGUCGUCAGCUCGUGUCGUGAGAUGUUGGGUUAAGUCCCGCAACGAGCGCAACCCUUGCCAUUAAUUGCCAUCAUUUAGUUGGGCACUUUAAUGGGACUGCCGGUGACAAACCGGAGGAAGGUGGGGAUGACGUCAAGUCCUCAUGGCCCUUAUGGCCAGGGCUUCACACGUAAUACAAUGGUCGGUACAGAGGGAAGCCAACCCGCGAGGGGGAGCCAAUCUCAGAAAGCCGGUCGUAGUCCGGAUUGUUGUCUGCAACUCGACAGCAUGAAGUCGGAAUCGCUAGUAAUCGCGGAUCAGCAUGUCGCGGUGAAUACGUUCCCGGGCCUUGUACACACCGCCCGUCACACCAUGGGAGUGGGUUUUACCAGAAGUAGUUAGUCUAUCCGCAAGGGGGACGAUUACCACGGUAGGAUUCAUGACUGGGGUGAAGUCGUAACAAGGUAGCCGUAUCGGAAGGUGCGGCUG